rnacentral:rRNA from 1 species
AUGAAUGCUGGCGGCGUGUCUAAGGCAUGCAAGUCGCGCGGACAUAAUGCGAUUACAUCAAGCUAUGUUAGCGGCAGACGGGAGCGGAACACAUUGGUAACAUUCCUCGAAGUCGUGAACAACCCCGGGAAACUGGGGCUAAUACACGAUGGCCAAGGGAGGUCGUAAGACCCUUCCUUGUAAAGCUUCGGCGCUUCGAGAUUGGCCUAUGUCCUAUCAGCUAGUUGGCGAGGUAACUGCUCACCAAGGCUAUGACGGGUAGGGGGCGUAAGAGCGUGGCCCCCCUCACUGGGACUGAGACACUGCCCAGACACCUACGGGUGGCUGCAGUCAAGAAUAUUCGGCAAUGGACGAAAGUCUGACCGAGCGACGCCGCGUGCCAGACGAAGCCCUUCGGGGUGUAAAUGGCUUUUUUCAGGGACGAACAAAUGACGGUACCUGAAGAAUAAGAGGUUGCUAACUCUGU